GCUAUAUACACAUUUCUCCACAAAUGGGGCACUUAACUCAGCCUGGUAGUGUGAGGAAGAAUUUAGAGAGAUGGUGCAUGAAUUGGGUCUUGCCUGCUGGCUAGGAGUAGGCUAGUAUAAGAGGAUAGGGCACUGUGGGCAGAAGGCAUUGGCAAAAGCAGGGAAAAGAAAAGAGUAUUGUAUUGGGAAUGACAAAUUGUUUGAUAUUCAGAGAUGGUGCAAUGGGUGUCAGAAGUUUAGUCCAGAGGGUGGCCGAGCAUGCAGGCAGGCUGUUCCAUGGAGCCUGAAUGUGUUCCUCUGAAUGUGAUGGGGCAUCAGGGAAGGGAUUUCAGUGGGGAAGCUCUUUAGAUGGAUCAUCUGAAGUUCAGGGUAUCGGGGUCAAAACUGGAGACGUACCUGGGAGCUAUCAGAAUAUAGGUAGAUUGUUACUACCAAAGAUGUGCUUUCAGGGUCACUGUAUGCUGAAUAUAUUCUCAUGGCACUGUUGGAAAAAAUAAUUUUUAUUUAUAAAUCUAGGUCUAUUUUGUGUCCCACUUGGCAAGUGCAUCAAAAGGCACAUUCAUUUGCUUUCCUGGAAUUGUUUUUGAAGUAUCUCUGCCUUCCCAGAAACCAGAAAAUACACACUCAACUUUGAAUCUGUGCUGACAUGAAAUAUAGUGAAGAUGGUAUUUUGUAAUUUUCUGAUUCAUAGAUGACUCAUCAAGAUGUCCAAAGUCAAUGGUUCAGAGAACACAUGAGAUAAGGACCUAGAAGUGUCCCUGGCAUGUAAUAGGCAUUCAAUAAAUAUUUAUUGUUUUUAAUCUGGAAAGUGAUCCUAAGAGAUAACUAACUAGAAUUUACUCUGGAAAAAAGCAUUAUAAUCUGGGUUCUAAACAUGAUUAUAAACAUGUCACCCAGAAACUUUGUACUUUGCAGAUAACUUAAAGCAUAGCCAUUGAAAUUAGCUGUAGCACAGUGCCCAGCUCCACUGAGUAUUGGCCAGAUGCUGCUCUUUCUGUGGUUACUGAAUGGACUAGGAGGAGAAUUGGAAGCUAAGUGUUGGAGGAUUUUGUCUUAAGCACCUGCCUUAUAGGAAAGUCUUGAGAAAAUACAGAGGCCCCCUGACACUAUCAUGUAAUCCCUUUUGCCACUGAAGGAAAGCAAACUGGAUUAAAAGGCUGUCACUGUUAUUAUAAGCAAGAUUUUCAACCAGCUUCCUAUGUCAUAGAUUUUCAUGUGAUAUACAACAAAGGAAGACAUCAUCAUAAAUCCCAUGUGAAUCCCCUUCAGCCUUAUUUUUACCCAUUUCUAUUCGGAUGAUCACUAUUCAGUUUCAUUUUCUUUACUGAUUUUUAUAAGCCAUGACUACUUGCUUUUAUGUUUCUUUUAGAAGCAAGUAGGAACCUAUUUCUCAUAGUCAGAAAUGAGCAGUUUUAUUGGUUGUCAUGCUUAGGCCACAGUUUUUGCUGGAAGAUGUGGAAUAAGAGAGAUCAGAACACCUUUGCUUCUUAUAAUGUUUGACUAACUCUAGAGGCAGUGUUUCAGAUCCAGAUGGCAAGUGCCUUUCUUGCCCUCCAUGUACACUAAACUGAGUACACUGAGCUGGUUCUGAAACAGUUGAUAAUUCCUACCUUGGUCAGAAGACAGAAUCUAGAGCCUGGCACAAUGGCACACCUGUAAUCUAGUGGCUUGGGAGGCCGAGGUGGGAGUCUGAGGCAGGAGGAUCCUGGGUUCAAAGCUAGCCUCAGCAACUUAGUGAGACCUUAAGAAACUUAGCAAGAACCUGUCUCAAAAUAAAAAAUAAAAAGGGCUGGGGAUGUGACUCAGUGGUUAAGCACCCCUGGGUUCAAUCUCUGGUACCAAAAGAAAAAAAAAAAAAGAAGCAUAAGCUAAGUGAAUAAUAUCCAGGAAGUGUGAGCACAGAAUUUUAUAAGUUUCCGUCUCUGAGUGGUGCAGGUUUACCUCAUAAUGAUAAAAGACAGAAGCAGAAUUCAGGUUUGCCUGAGAAAGGAGGCAUCCCCCCAAUGAAGAUGAUGUUAUAGGCCACUUAUCAGCCAAAC
rnacentral:lncRNA from 1 species